GAGGUUCUGUGGUGUACGCCUUGAUCAUAUAUCAGGUUUGCCUUACAACCAAUUACUUUGGGACAAAUAGAUUAAUAAAUUUGAUUACAUGCCUUUUCACUUGGUAGCAAUUGAUUUAUUGGCUUAGUCCCACCUGUCAAACAUGCAGGUCAACUCUGACGGUCAAUUAACGGCACUAACGGAUACUUC
rnacentral:other from 30 species